GAUGUAACGCCUGGGCGGCGUGCUUAACACAUGCAAGUCGAACGAGAAGUCAACGGAUUGAGGAUUCGUCCAAAUGAAGUUGAGGAAAGUGGCGGACGGGUGAGUAACGCGUGAGGAACCUGCCUCGGAGUGGGGAAUAACAGUUGGAAACAGCUGCUAAUACCGCAUAAUGCAACGAAAUCGCAUGACUUUGUUGCCAAAGAUUUAUCGCUCUGAGAUGGCCUCGCGUUGGAUUAGAUAGUUGGUGAGGUAACGGCUCACCAAGUCGACGAUCCAUAGCCGGACUGAGAGGUUGAACGGCCACAUUGGGACUGAGACACGGCCCAG
rnacentral:rRNA from 1 species